rnacentral:rRNA from 1 species
GGAUUGCCUCAGUAACGGCGAGUGAAGCGGCAAAAGCUCAAAUUUGAAAUCUGACGUCUUCGACGUUCGAGUUGUAAUUUGUAGAGGUAGCUUUGGGUGUACAGCCAGGUCUAUGUUCCUUGGAACAGGACGUCAUGGAGGGUGAGAAUCCCGUAAAUGGCUUGGCCAGUGCCUAUGUAUAGCGCCUUCGACGAGUCGAGUUGUUUGGGAAUGCAGCUCUAAGCGGGUGGUAAAUUCCAUCUAAAGCUAAAUACUGGCGAGAGACCGAUAGCGCACAAGUAGAGUGAUCGAAAGGUGAAAAGCACUCCGGAAGGAGAGUUAAACAGCACGUGAAAUUGUUGAAAGGGAAGCGCUUGAGACCAGACUCAGGUAAAGUUGAUCAACCUCCAUUCUUGGUGGUGCACUCUUCUUUGCCCGGGCCAGCAACAGUUUUGGCGGUGGUAUAAAGGUUUAGGGAAUGUGGCUCUCUUCGGGGAGUGUUAUAGCCCUAUUCGUAAUGCUGCCUGUCGAGACUGAGGACCGCGCUUCGGCUAGGUUGUUGGCGUAAUGGUCUUAAGCGACCC